GACGAACGCUGGCGGCGUGCCUAAUACAUGCAAGUAGAACGCUGAAGAGAGGAGCUUGCUCUUCUUGGAUGAGUUGCGAACGGGUGAGUAACGCGUAGGUAACCUGCCUUGUAGCGGGGGAUAACUAUUGGAAACGAUAGCUAAUACCGCAUAACAAUGGAUGACACAUGUCAUUUAUUUGAAAGGGGCAAUUGCUCCACUACAAGAUGGACCUGCGUUGUAUUAGCUAGUAGGUGAGGUAAUGGCUCACCUAGGCGACGAUACAUAGCCGACCUGAGAGGGUGAUCGGCCACACUGGGACUGAGACACGGCCCAGACUCCUCCGGGAGGCAGCAGUAGGGAAUCUUCGGCAAUGGGGGCAACCCUGACCGAGCAACGCCGCGUGAGUGAAGAAGGUUUUCGGAUCGUAAAGUUCUGUUGUAAGUCAAGAACGGGUGUGAGAGUGGAAAGUUCACACUGUGACGGUAGCUUACCAGAAAGGGACGGCUAACUACGUG
rnacentral:rRNA from 1 species